UUGAAUUACAUCACAGCCGCCGCAAAUAUUGCAGGAGACCUACUGGAGCCCGCAUGGAUCCAAGAUUCACCCAGAAAACAGUUAAGUUUGGUGGCGAAAAAAUCAUGGUCUGGGGUUACAUCCAGUAUGGGGUGGUGGAAUGCAAUAUCAAUAGCCUAAAAUAUCAAGAAGUAUUAGCUACCUCUUAUAUUCCCAACCAUAAAAGGGGUCAAAUUUUGCAGCAGGAUGGUGCUCCAUCGCAUACUUCUAUCUCUACAUCAAAGUUCCUCAAGGCGAAGAAGAUCAAGGUGCUCCAGGACUGGCCAGCCCAGUCACCAGACAUGAACAUCAUUGAGCAUGUCUGGGGUAGAAUGAAAGAGGAAGCAUGGAAGGCAAAACCAAAGAAUCUUGAUGAACUCUGGGAGGCAUGUAAGACUGCUUUCUUUGCUAUUCCUGAUGACUUCAUCAACAAAUUGUAUGAAUCAUUGUCGAACCGCAUGGAUGCAGUCCUUCAAGCUCAUGGAAGUCAUACAAGAUAUUAAAUAUGGAUCUCACAGCACCACUACUUAAUUCACUGACGUUAUGCAACAUAUUUUUGUAAUUGAAGUAAA